rnacentral:rRNA from 1 species
CGUAGGGCGCAAGCGUUGUCCGGAAUUAUUGGGCGUAAAGAGCUCGUAGGCGGUCUGUUGCGUCCGCUGUGAAAACCCAGGGCUUAACCCUGGGCUGGCAGUGGAUACGGACAGACUAGAGGUAGGUAGGGGAGAAUGGAAUUCCCGGUGUAGCGGUGAAAUGCGCAGAUAUCGGGAGGAACACCGGUGGCGAAGGCGGUUCUCUGGGCCUUACCUGACGCUGAGGAGCGAAAGCGUGGGGAGCGAACAGG